UACAGAGGGUGCAAGCGUUGUUCGGAAUUAUUGGGCGUAAAGGGCGCGUAGGCGGUGCGGUAAGUCUCUAGUGAAAUCUCCGGGCUCAACUCGGAGCCUGCUAGGGAAACUGCCGUGCUCGAGUGUGGGAGAGGUGAGUGGAAUUCCCGGUGUAGCGGUGAAAUGCGUAGAUAUCGGAAGGAACACCUGUGGCGAAAGCGGCUCACUGGACCAUUACUGACGCUGAUGCACGAAAGCUAGGGGAGCAAACAGG
rnacentral:rRNA from 1 species